rnacentral:rRNA from 1 species
AUUGAACGCUGGCGGCAGGCCUAACACAUGCAAGUCGAGCGAGCGGCGGACGGGUGAGUGCUUUCUGGGGGCUGCGCGAUAGGGGGGGAUAACUACUGUAAACGUUGGCUAAUACCGCAUACUAUAUGAUACCCCCUAUGGGAUUAGCUAGUAGGUGAGGUAAUGGCGCACCUAGGCGACGAUCCCUAUCUGUUCUGCGAGGAUGAUCAGCCACACUGGGACGGAGAAACGGACCAGACUCUGACGGAGGAAGUAGUGGGGAAUAUUGCACAAUGGGCGCAAGCCUGAUGAAGCCAUGACGCGUGUAUGAAGAAGGCCUUAGGGUUGUAAAGUACUUUCAGUCGGGAGGCGUUACUGACAGAAGAAGCACCGGCUAACUCCGUGCCAGCAGCCGCGGUAAUAC